GGAUUAGAUACCCUGGUAGUCCACGCCGUAAACGAUGAGUGCUAGAUGUCGUGGCUCUUAGAGCUUCGGUGUCGCAGCUAACGCAUUAAGCACUCCGCCUGGGGAGUACGGUCGCAAGAUUAAAACUCAAAGGAAUUGACGGGGGCCUGCACAAGCGGUGGAGCAUGUGGUUUAAUUCGAAGCAACGCGCAGAACCUUACCAGCCCUUGACAUCCUGGUCGCGAGGAGUGGAGACACACCUUUUCAGUUCGGCUGGACCAGUGACAGGUGCUGCAUGGCUGUCGUCAGCUCGUGUUG
rnacentral:rRNA from 1 species